rnacentral:rRNA from 1 species
UACGUAGGUGACUAGCGUUGUCCGGAUUUACUGGGCGUAAAUAGCACGCAGGCGGUCGUUCAAGUCGAGUGUGAAAGCCCCCGGCUCAACUGGGGAGGGUCAUUCGAUACUGAUCGACUCGAAGGCAGGAGAGGGAAGCGGAAUUCCCGGUGUAGUGGUGAAAUGCGUAGAUAUCGGGAGGAACACCAGUGGCGAAGGCGGCUUCCUGGCCUGUUCUUGACGCUGAGACGCGAAAGCGUGGGGAGCAAACAGG